CUUGAGCGACCCCAACCACAAAGGUCGAUCCGGAUCACGCUGACCGUAGGUCGCCAGCAGCGCCUGCGCCUC
rnacentral:antisense_RNA from 1 species